rnacentral:rRNA from 1 species
GAUGAACGCUGGCGGCGUGCUUAACACAUGCAAGUCGAGCGGUAAGGCCCUUUCGGGGGUACACGAGCGGCGAACGGGUGAGUAACACGUGGGUGACCUGCUCCCUGCCCUGGGAUAAGCCUGGGAAACUGGGUCUAAUACCGGAUAUGCCCUCUUGUUGCAGUACAGGUGGUGGAAAGUUUUUUCGGUGGGGGAUGGGCCCGCGGCCUAUCAGCUUGUUGGUGGGGUGAUGGCCUACCAAGGCGACGACGGGUAGCCGGCCUGAGAGGGCGACCGGCCACCCUGGGACUGAGACACGGCCCAGACUCCUACGGGAGGCAGCAGUGGGGAAUAUUGCGCAAGGGGCGGAAGCCUGACGCAGCGACGCCGCGUGGGGGAUUACGGCCUUCGGGUUGUAAACCUCUUUCGGCCCCGACGAAGCGAACAGUGACGGUAGGGGUAGAAGAAGCACCGGCCAACUACGUGCCAGCCGCCGCUGUAA